rnacentral:rRNA from 1 species
UACGUAGGCAGCGAGCGUUGUUCGGAAUUACUGGGCGUAAAGAGUGUGUAGGCGGUGCUCUAAGUUCGGUGUGAAAUCUCCUGGCUCAACUGGGAGGGUGCGCCGGAAACUGGAGUGCUUGAGCGUGGGAGAGGAAAGCGGAAUUCCUGGUGUGGCGGUGAAAUGCGUAGAUAUCAGGAGGAACACCUGUGGUGUAGACGGCUUUCUGGACCAUAGCUGACGCUGAGACACGAAAGCGUGGGUAGCAAACAGG